rnacentral:ncRNA from 2 species
UACGGAGGGUGCAAGCGUUAUCCGGAUUCACUGGGUUUAAAGGGUGCGUAGGCGGGUUUGUAAGUCAGUGGUGAAAUCCUGGAGCUUAACUCCAGAACUGCCAUUGAUACUAUAAGUCUUGAAUAUUGCGGAGGUAAGCGGAAUAUGUCAUGUAGCGGUGAAAUGCUUAGAUAUGACAUAGAACACCCAUUGCGAAGGCAGCUUACUACACAUAUAUUGACGCUGAGGCACGAAAGCGUGGGGAUCAAACAGG